ACCAUUGAGCUGCCUCCACUUUGAGCAGCUCAGUGGAUGAAUAUAGUAUCUUGAGGAUACCUUUGAUUUGUGCAGGGUUUUCUUGUGCAGGUUUGUGACCCAGGUCAGCUUAGGUCAGGAUGCUGUACUGCUUGCCACAAAAUAGCCUGUACUGUCGCGUCGUUUUUUCUUGUGAACAGACUGUUUGGCAUAGCCGUAGAGAGGGGUCUGAGACAUGAAUU
rnacentral:lncRNA from 1 species